AGGAACUCAUCAGCUUCGAGUUGAUCUGACAGAUUUUGAAAAUAAUUACACUUUCGCCACUUGUAAGCUGAGUAUUGGCGCUUUCACUGGAGGCAGUACAGGUGACUCUCUCUCUUAUCACAACAAUCGCCCUUUCACAACCAAAGACAGAGACAAUGAUGAAUAUCCACAAAACUGUGCGGUAUCGUAUAAAGGUGCUUGGUGGUACGGAAGCUGCCAUAACUCCAAUCUGAACGGGCAGUAUCUGAGAGGAAAACACGCCAGCCACGCGGAUGGAGUUAAUUGGAAAUGCAGACCAGGGCAGUAUUACUCCUAUAAAAUAACAGAAAUGAAGUUCAGGCCAGUUUAGUACAUAGUGGGAACAGAGACCUAAUGAAUCAAGAUAAUGAAAUCAUCUAACAUAUAAUAGACACAGACCAAAAGGGUCAAGUCUGUGAUCUAGGACCACCACUAAUUUAUAGCCCACAAAUGAAAUAGUACAUUUCCAUACAUUUUACCAGUGAUUUGCGGCAUAUUAACAUGUGUAUUCCCAAUUAUGGAGGGGUUUAUAGUGUGUUUGUCUUCGUGUUUGAUGUACCCAGAAUUCAUAAAACAAUCUUUUAUAUGGCUGAUCUGUAUAUGCAUCCUCAUGUAUAAUACAUAACUUCCUACAAUAAACGUUUUCUACUA